CCUGGUGGCUCAGAUGGUAAAGCGUCUGCCUACAAUGCAGGAGACCCAGGUUCGACCCCUGGGUCAGGA
rnacentral:tRNA from 1 species